rnacentral:tRNA from 1 species
GCGGGUGUGGUUCAAUGGCAGAAUGCGAGCUUCCCAAGCUUGAGACGAGGGUUCGAUUCCCUUCACCCGCUCCA